CUCAUACCAGCUCAAUUUUAAUUUUAAAGUGACAAAUGUACAGGUGGAAUACAAUUUUAAGCAACACCCUCCAAAUUCCUCUUACAUGACAAGAAGGAGCUGAAUGUAAUUUUACUCCAUUACCAACUAAACAGUAGUUCUUUAGCAAUAAUUAGGAAGUCACAGCACAAAAACGACACCCCAGAGUUGUGGUCCAUUUAUAGAUUUUCACAUAGGCUUCGUUGGAAGAAGUGAUUUUAUAUCUAUCCUGACCAAUGGUCAAAGUGGGCACAGAACAGUAGGAACUAAGUUGGCCCUGUUAAGCAGGCACAUGCAGCCAUGUCCGAUCCACAGAUGUGCUUUUAUUCUUUAAGAGGAUCAUCUAG
rnacentral:sRNA from 1 species